AUGACAGGAAAAAAAAAUUGUUCGGCCCAAAAUGUCACGGUUGUGUCUUUUUUUUGUAGUGUACCCUUGAGCAAGCACAAGAAAGGCAACGCUUGCGCCACCAAGAGGAAGAGCGAGCGCACCAACACCAAGACAAACAAGAUGUUGAGGCACAACAUCAAUGACAACAAUGGCAUGAAACUGAAGCACUUGAGGCGCAACAUGCCCUCCGAGACACAAGUUGCGCCGUCUCCGCACGCAAUCGACAUCCGCGUGAGAAAGAAGAAGCACUUCGCAAUGAAGUUCAAGAGAGGAACUAUCAAGCAUGAUUGCACCGUCAAGUUCCACGAGCUCCUCCACAAGCUAGACAAGCACAACAAGCCCGACAAGAACCACAAGUUCGCUAAGAGAAACAAGACAAUGGCAAUCCUCCACGCCAGGAGAAACUUGAGGUUGACAACCCUCCUCGUUAAGGGCGUCAUCACCCUCGACCCCAACACAAUGAAGAGCAACGCUAUCGCAAACUCAAGUUCAUCAUGCCCAAGUUUUCCAGAAGCAAUGAUCCCGAAGAGUAUCUUUCAUGGGCAUUGA
rnacentral:rRNA from 1 species